rnacentral:tRNA from 1 species
UAGCUCAGACAGUAGAGCAUGAGACUCCUAAUCUCAGGGUCAUGGGUUCGAGCCCCAC